AGCACAGCAGUUGCCAAGUGAUCUUCUCCACAGCACCCAUGAACUUCAGCCUUGAACUGAAGAGGACUCAUCAAAUGCCUUAGGAGAGACAGCAUGGAUUUGGAAGAGAAGCAGGCAUCUCCAUGAAGGGCAGUCUACUACAGUCUUGGUGUGUGGAGGAACAGGUCCUGUUCUCGCUGUUGUUACUCCCACAUAGGCGGACUCUGUAAUUGAUUAUGUGUGGGUAGGGCCCUAUUGAAAUUAAGGAGAUUCUGCAAUAGUGCAGGGUUCUUUUUGUGAAAGUUCAGUUGCAAGAUCAGGACCCUACUGUGACUCCUUACUGUGAAUUCUGUCAGUGUAUCAUUGGUUGUGCUGGAACCUGCCUUUUGGGAUAAUGUAAGUUCUGCUUUUCCCCCAAAUGUACUUUAGACAUGAAAUAAUCAUAAAACAUUUCUAAUUAGAAAAUUAAUAUCAUUUACAUGCAUUCUUUUAAUUAUGUUUUUUUGGCAGUACCAAAUAAUAUAUUCCUCAAAACUUCUUAAUGGCACUGAGGCUUUGUGGAUAGUUGGUCACAUGAUGAGAAAAUUCAGCUGUAAGUACAUUGAAAUGAUUGAUUUUUUCUAUAGUUAGUCUUUACUGAUGUUGACAAACUAAUAAUGAUAAAAAGGUGAAUCAAGAGGUUUGGCUUAUGUCAAUUGACUUCAGUUCUUCUUAGAAAAUAUAUACAAUAUAUCCAUUAAGGAUUUCAUUAUUCUUGGGUCAUUCACCAUGUGAA